GAUGAACGCUGGCGGCGUGCCUAAUACAUGCAAGUCGAGCGAACGGACGAGAAGCUUGCUUCUCUGAUGUUAGCGGCGGACGGGUGAGUAACACGUGGAUAACCUACCUAUAAGACUGGGAUAACUUCGGGAAACCGUAGCUAAUACCGGAUAAUAUUUUGAACCGCAUGGUUCAAAAGUGAAAGACGGUCUUGCUGUCACUUAUAGAUGGAUCCGCGCUGCAUUAGCUAGUUGGUAAGGUAACGGCUUACCAAGGCAACGAUGCAUAUCCGACCUGAGAGGGUGAUCGGCCACACUGGAACUGAGACACGGUCCAGACUCCUACGGGAGGCAGCAGUAGGGAAUCUUCCGCAAUGGGCGAAAGCCUGACGGAGCAACGCCGCGUGAGUGAUGAAGGUCUUCGGAUCGUAAAACUCUGUUAUUAGGGAAGAACAUAUGUGUAAGUAACUGUGCACAUCUGGACGGUACCUAAUCAGAAAGCCACGGCUAACUACGU
rnacentral:rRNA from 1 species